GGGGCUGAUUCUGGAUUCGACGGGAUUUGCGUAGCCCUAGGAGCAUGCCGAGGGGCGGUUUGCCUCGUUAAAAGCCGCAAAAAAAUAGUCGCAAACGACGAAAACUACGCUUUAGCAGCUUAAUACCCUGCUCUGAGCCCUCUCUCCCUAGCUUCCGCUCUUAAGACGGGGAUCAAGAGAGGUCAAACCCAAAAGAGAUCGUGUGGAAGCCUUGCCUGGGGCUGAAGCACUAAAACUAAUCAGGCUAGUCUGUUAGUGGCGUGUCUGUCCGCAGCUGACCGGCGAAUGUAAAGACUGACUAAGCAUGUAGUGCCGACGGUGUAGUAAUUUCGGACGCGGGUUCAACUCCCGCCAGCUCCACCA
rfam:Erwinia sp. Leaf53 contig_5, whole genome shotgun sequence.